rnacentral:lncRNA from 1 species
UAAGGCUUGUAAUAACCAUUAUAGUAAUAGUAUAAAGACAGACAUGAGAGAGUUGCCUAUAACUGAGAGCUCAUAAGCAAACCUUUACAUUCAUAUUUAAUUGAUUUUCAACAAAAGGAUCUGGGCAACUCAGUGGGGGAAAGGAUACUCAACAAACAUUGCUGUGGCAACUGGAAUUUCAAAGAAUGAAAUUGAAUUUUUCUUUUUACUAUGCUAAAACAAUUAAGUAAAAUAUGGAUCACAGACUUAAAGUAAGAGCUAAAAUAUAAGACAUUAGGAGAAAAGAGAAGAAAACGCCCAUGGUUUGGUGAGUUCUCAGAAAUGACCCCAAAGCAUAAUUUAUCAAAGAAAAUGACUCGCCAAAAUUUUAAAAAUUACACUUCCACAGAUAGCAGUGAUACAAUGAAAAGAGGAGCCCCAGACCACAGGACACACCUAUGGAUUCUGUCAGAUAAAGGAUGCUCAAAAUGUGGACAGAAGUCCUGCAGGCAGAAAGCAAGAGCCCCAACUUUAACAUGAACAAGAUCUGAAUAGACAUUCCACCAAGAAAAGUACCUGACUAAGCUAAUAGGCAGAGCUUGCCGGCGUAUCAGCAUUCUGGCAU